rnacentral:rRNA from 1 species
CAGCCGUAAACUAUGCGCGUUAGGUGUACUGGUGACCACGAGUCACCGGGUGCCGAAGGGAAACCGUGAAACGUGCCGCCUGGGAAGUACGGUCGCAAGGCUGAAACUUAAAGGAAUUGGCGGGAGAGCACCACAACGGGUGGAGCCUGCGGUUUAAAUUGGACUCAACGCCGGAAAUCUCACCGGAUAGGACAGACAUAUGAUAGUCGGGCUGAAGACUCUACUUGAUGAUCUGAGAGGAGGUGCAUGGCGUCAGUGACU